rnacentral:rRNA from 1 species
AGCUCAAAGUUGGAAUCCGGUUGCCCUAGGUAAUUGGAAUUGUAAACUGGAGAGGUGUUUUCCAGGCGAGCCAAGCAAAUAAGUCCUUUGGAACAGGGCAUCAUAGAGGGUGAGAAUCCCGUCUUUGGCUUGAGCAUUGCCUUUUGCGAUACACUUUCAAAGAGUCAGGUUGUUUGGGAAUGCAGCCUAAAUUGGGUGGUAAAUCUCACCUAAAGCUAAAUAUUGGCGAGAGACCGAUAGCGAACAAGUACCGUGAGGGAAAGAUGAAAAGAACUUUGAAAAGAGAGUUAAACAGUAUGUGAAAUUGUUGAAAGGGAACCGUUUGGAGCCAGACCGGCUGCUCUAUAAUCAAUCUCUGCUUCGGUAGGGAUGCACUUGUAGGGCUUUAGCCUGCCAACAGCAAUUUUCUUUGGUGGAAAAAACUAGAAGGAAUGUGGCCCCUCGGGGUGUUAUAGCCUUUUAGAAAAUACACUGAAGGGGAUUGAGGACUGCAGCAAAUGCUUUUGGCGAAAUAACUAGGUGCUUGUGUUAAGGACGUAUAGAAUCUCUGCUUCGGGUGGUGCUAUGCUCUGCGAUGCAACUCGCUUAGACU